rnacentral:lncRNA from 1 species
AUUUAACCCUGAAACAUGAGGGUAUGGAUGUGUAAUUAUGUCUAUGGUGGACAUGGAGAAAAGACAUAAGAUGAAUGAGAAGAAAUCAUGAGAUAUACAACUGGCACAGUGAGUUUGAAACAAUGCUUCUUUAGGUGGUCAUUCAUCAGUUCAAGUAAUUUGGAUUGGGAGAGAAGAAAUCAGAAGUUGUUCCUUAGAACAAGAUGCAAGAAAUGCUGAUGCUUCAAGUAUUAGAAUCACUGAUCUCAGCAGACAGAGAUUUCAAAGCAAAGAUUCCCUGUGUCAUGAAAGGGCCCAGGACAAUCGCA